CUGACAAGAUUGAAGGGAGCGCAACCCAGGAACUGGGGGGAGAAAAAUAAAAAAAAAGGGGGGGGGGGGGAAGGGAGGGAGGGGGGAGCGGGCGGGCAAAGGGGUAGAGGGAGAAGUAACCCCGGCUAAAGUUUGUACAAUUAGAACCCAUCCGCUUAAAGUAGACUUUGUGCUUUCGGCUUCUCCUUUCCCUUCGCUGCGAGGAUGUGUGUUGUAAGAGGAGAAAUUUGCCCACUGGCCUGGUCUGUCCUUCCUCCCACUGUCCUGGAGACCAAGAAGGAGACUGGUGAAUUGUCCCCUCUUUUCCCAUCUGAACCUCUGGAGCUGCGCCUCGUAGGAUUUUUGCAAUUUAUUGUGCAGCUGAUGAACGCGUUGCAACACCUUGUCUGGCUACUUCAAGUCCUGCCAGGGAACAUGUACAGCUCAAGGAACCAUGCAAGCCCAUAAGCAGACAUCAGAGAUGUACUUGAUGCCAUGAAGGCAAGGGUGGCAAAGUCAAGGUCUUCACGUUCUUCCUGAAGAUUUGAUUAAAGUUACACGAUUGCAGAAAUCAUGUGUUAGACGCUGGGCAAAUAAACAGGGCUGGCUGGAAGCCUGCUCAGCUGCCUUAUGGCAACGGCUAUGUUCAGUAGUGGAGGAAGACACACGAAGGCUCAAACCGCAGUGGUGUUUCUGAGUUGAUCCCUUCUCUAAUUUGUCCUUCCUGUAUCCUUGCAGCCCUCUUUGUGCCUGCCAUCAUGUGGAAGGUGCUUCAGAAGAGCUAGUAUUUAUGUUAUCCUGAGGCCCUAACCACCCAAAUCCCCCCCAUUGCUGAGUUCUACUACCCACUUUCUGGGUGAAGUGGAGCAACCUUUUUUGCACUACAAAUGAAGUAUCCAUAAGGACCAAAGUCGGGGUGGGAUUUUCCAGCAAAGAACAUGCUUCUCAUGUAUAGAAGAGAGCACAGAGACUUCUGUUCUGUGAGAUAAUUUUUCCUGGUACAUGGUGUAGAGUCAAGGCCGAUACUUCUCAGUGCUGGUGCUGGAUUUCCACUAAUUUUGCAUCAGGGUCUUCCUCUGAAUCCCCCGUGGGAGUUGUCUGGUACUGCUUAAAGGGAUGGUGUUUUUUGUAAUUAUUUAAUGAUUGUUCCAGGUUUCUUUCCUGUGCUUGUUAAACCUUCAUUCCAGUGAAAGUGUAAUCCCAUAUUAUUGAAUUUGGAUAAAAAGUGAUCGAGAAUAAACAUUAAUUCCUCAGUAAAGACAUUGGAGUAAAUAUUAUUCACCUAAUUUUAGUUUUUCUGGUUUGAAAAUAUAGACCCAAGUGCAGAACUGAGCAUUUUGAUUAGAUUAAAAACAUUUAAAAGUAACACAGCAUGCAAAGGGGGCCGGGAGUCUCCAUUAGACUUGUUAUGUUGGCUUAGAAACUUCAUGGGGUAUCUCUUUCUCCAGUGAAUUCUAGGAAAAAUCUCUGUUAAUUAUUAUCAGUUUCUUUCUUCAAUUCCGAUUUUUGAAUAUAUUUUUUUUUUAAAUAAGGAAGUGACAGUGAAUUGGAGCAUCUUUAAAUUAAACAAGUUUUUUUUAGCCCUUAGCUGAUGUUGUUGUAUGCUCUCUCCUUAAUCCCUCUGUGAGUUUCCUCCUGCUUUGUGAGACACAGGAGUCCAACAUUAAUAAAAUAAAAUAAAAUAAAAUAUAAAAUAAAUAAAAUAAAAUAAAUAAAAUAAAAAGUAAAAAGUAAAAAGAAAGCUGAAGCCUAUUUCAGGUUACUAUCUUCUUAUUCCUUCUUUCUAGUUCUCUUUACCUACACAGUCAGCCAUGAAUACUGCACGUUCAUUUAAAUUUUCAGCCAUUGAAUCAUGAUCACUUGAAGACCCAGGAACCCUGGAUGUAACUCAAGGGGUUAUGCUGUUUUUACUGUUUGGCACCUGCUCAGGAAAGGGAACUUAGCUUAGCAGUUAAAGCAUAUGGCAGGGGGAGAUAGCCCAGUAUCUUGGAUGGAGACGCAUAUAUUUUGUACUCUCAUGGUAUGAUGCAUUCUUGUGCUUUGCAGAUGGUGCUUCAGAAUUGUUGCUCUGAAAAGUAAUUUUGACCAGCCAUGCAGGUCUGCUGACACAAACACGAGGAUCAUCAGGUUCUGUGCAGACACUCCCGUGUGCUGCAGAUAUCCUAGCUAGGGA
ensembl:lncRNA